rnacentral:lncRNA from 1 species
UAGGAAGUAAAGAGGAGUUCACAUUACUGCCUUGUAGCUCUUUCAUCUCUCUUAAAACCCCCAAAAGCCUUCUGGAGGCAUGGAAGUUACAUCUGCAUUACUUAUCCAUGUCAUUCUAGGUGGAAUCAUGUCUAACAGAGAUUUCCAUCGAAGCCCUGGUGCUCUCUCUCUCCCCAUCCCUGCUUCAGCUCCAGGUCAGAAGGUGAUGGGGAGUUCGGGUCUAUGGGUUUGUGCCCUGCGCUGGGAAGGGCUGUCCCCGCCUACUCUGCGAUUCCAAAGGUGUCUGUGGCUGCUCUGGUCUAGGUCUCGGUCGGACGCUGGUUAGGUGUCCGUCUCUCUGCCUGGCCACCUCAAGGUGGGGAUUCGGUACCCAACCCUACCUGGCAGGAAGCCUGGUUAUCCAUGUGCCUCUCCGACCCUCCCCCGACUUCGCCAGGCUCACGGAGGCACCAUCGCCUUCCAUUAUGUACAGUGUCGAGGGUCCCAUCCAGGGCACCGGGCACGUCUGGUGGACCCGGAUCCCAGUCCCGAGCGGUCGCGAGCACGUCCCUGUCCCCGUUCCCCGGCCGCCGCCUGAAUGCCAGGCCCCCUCGCGCUCCCCGCCGGGCGCUUACCUUCUCGUGGGCGGACACGGUGGCCAGGCAGCCCCAGACGCUGGCAUGGGCCAGGGAGCGGGCAGUGGCGGC